rnacentral:rRNA from 1 species
GAUGAACGCUGGCGGCGUGCCUAAUACAUGCAAGUCGAGCGAACAGACGAGGAGCUUGCUCCUCUGACGUUAGCGGCGGACGGGUGAGUAACACGUGGAUAACCUACCUAUAAGACUGGGAUAACUUCGGGAAACAGGAGCUAAUACCGGAUAAUAUAUUGAACCGCAUGGUUCAAUAGUGAAAGACGGUUUUGCUGUCACUUAUAGAUGGAUCCGCGCCGCAUUAGCUAGUUGGUAAGGUAACGGCUUACCAAGGCAACGAUGCGUAGCCGACCUGAGAGGUUGAUCGGCCACACUGGAACUGAGACACGGUCCAGACUCCUACGGGAGGCAGCAGUAGGGAAUCUUCCGCAAUGGGCGAAAGCCUGACGGAGCAACGCCGCGUGAGUGAGGAAGGUCUUCGGAUCGUAAAACUCUGUUAUUAGGGAAGAACAAAUGUGUAAGUAACUAUGCACGUCUUGACGGUACCUAAUCAGAAAGCCACGGCUAACUACGUG